GUUCGUAUAAAUACUCUGAAAGCAGAUGUUGAUUGUGCUUUACUUGAAUUAGGGAAACAGUUCACGGUUCGGAAGGAUGACAUUGUACCUGACCUGUUGAUACUCCCUCCACAUACUGAUUUACACAAUCAUCCUCUGGUCUUGAAUGGAAGUGUCUUUUUGCAAGGAAAGGCAAGUUCAAUGGUGGCAGCAGUCCUUGCACCCAAGCCUGGCUGGGAGGUUCUUGAUGCAUGUUCAGCUCCAGGAAACAAAACUGUCCAUCUUGCUGCUCUUAUGAGAGGAAAAGGAAAAAUUAUAGCAUGUGAGUUGAAUAAGGACAGGAUUAAGCGUUUAGAAGACACUGUCAGACUCUCUGGUGCCACUAACAUCGAAGUUCUGCAUGGUGAUUUCUUGAACUUAAAUCCAAAAGAUCCUUCUUUCUCCAAGAUCCGCGCAAUUCUUUUAGAUCCUUCUUGUUCUGGUUCGGGGACUACUGCUCAGCGAUUAGACUAUUUACUUCCAUCCCAUGCCACUGAUGUUACCGACACAGAAAGACUGAAGAAACUUUCAGCCUUUCAAAAGAAAGCUCUGGCCCAUGCAUUAUCUUUCCCUGCAGUUGAAAGAGUUGUUUACAGCACAUGUUCUGUCAACCAAAUUGAAAAUGAAGAUGUCAUCAUGUCAGUUCUACCUCUUGCAACAUCCCACGGCUUUCAGCUGGUCACUCCCUUUCCUCAGUGGCAUCGUCGUGGUCUUCCAGUUUUCAGGGGCUCUGAGAAUUUACUUCGAACAGAUCCAAUUGAGGACCAAGAGGGGUUCUUCAUUGCUCUUUUUGUCAAGAAGAGCAACAUCAAUGAUUCAGAAGAACAAAAUGGAAUUAGAAACACUCAUAGAACUAUUUCAACUCAGAAACGUCAUUUUAAAAGAUACAGCCAUGUGAACAGAAAAAAUAUUUUGAUGCCUGCAGUCUACAGUGGAGCAUU
rnacentral:misc_RNA from 1 species